AUAAUUUAUAAACUCAUACUUGAAAUCUUUUUAUCUACAAUUUUUUCCUUCAAUUUUUAUUUAUUUUUAUUUUUUAGGCAAAGGAUUGAACAAAGCACUUGGAAAGUUUCUAUGGUAGCACACAUGCAUCAUUCUCAUACCCCCCUCCCCUCUCUCUCUCCCCAUCGGCGUCUCACACAAACACACGAGUGCCACCACCAACCACUGUUCCUCCGACUCAGAAACAUGAACGCAUCUUUGGCAUUUGGAGUUUGAUUCGCCUCCAUAAAUCCGCCGCUGCCGCCGUUGGCCUUGGCAUCUUCGACGACAAAUUUCUUCUAUGGCGAGGUCGUUCGAUUUCGAUUUCUUUUUUAAAUUACACAAAUCCAGAUCUCUCCUUUCUCAUUCACCAGGUUUGGGCAAUCGCAGACUCCAAACGACAAGGAUUUCUAGGCUUUAAGGAGUUCAUUACUACGAUUCAGAUGACAGAGAGGUUAUAAAACCACCAUUGAUGGAAGGUUUGGAUGACUUGUUAGCAAAGCAUAAGGGUUCUAAAAGCAAUGACAAUUAUGAGGCAAAUGGAAGUACUAUGCUACAACCAUCUUUGUCAGUAAAUUUGUUUAUAUCAAAAUCUACCAAGAAGUUCGAGGACAGGAAGGGCCAGGCUACCUGCGAGUCGUAAUCGACCACCGAUCCCAAAUGGUACCCCAAGGGAGGAGAAGGGGAACAUCCAAUGGUUCAGCUUCAAUCUGACUAGC